ACGCGUUUAUGUCUGCGCCUGU
rnacentral:miRNA from 2 species